UGAACGCUGGCGGCGUGCUUAACACAUGCAAGUCGAGCGAGAACGUCGACUUCGGUCGAACUGUAAAGCGGCGAACGGGUGAGUAACACGUGGGCAACCUGCCCUGGAGUGGGGGAUAACCUGGGGAAACUCGGGCUAAUACCGCAUACGACCUCAGCACUGCGGUGCUGAGGGGAAAGCUGGCCAAUUCAUGAAAGCUAGCGCUCCUGGAGGGCCCGCGCCCGAUUAGCUUGUUGGUGAGGUAACGGCUCACCAAGGCAGUGAUCGGUAGCCGGCCUGAGAGGGCGAUCGGCCACACUGGGACUGAGACACGGCCCAGACUCCUACGGGAGGCAGCAGUGGGGAAUAUUGGACAAUGGGCGCAAGCCUGAUCCAGCAACGCCGCGUGGAGGACGAAGGCCUUCGGGUCGUAAACUCCUGUCAGUUGGGACGAAAAGUCGUCGGUCAAUAGCCGGCGAUCAUGACGGUACCAGCAGAGGAAGCCCCGGCUAACUCCGUG
rnacentral:rRNA from 1 species